rnacentral:rRNA from 1 species
AUACGGAGGGUGCAAGCGUUAUUCGGAAUCACUGGGCGUAAAGGACGCGGAGGCGGGUUGGCAAGUCAGAUGUGAAAUCCUACAGCUUAACUGUAGAACUGCAUUUGAAACUGCUAACCUAGAGUAUGGGAGGGGGAGAUGGAAUUAGUGGUGUAGGGGUAAAAUCCGUAGAUAUCACUAGGAAUACCGAAAGCGAAGGCGAUCUCCUGGAACAUAACUGACGCUAAGGCGUGAAAGCGUGGGGAGCAAACAGGAUUAGAAACCCCAGUAGUCC